rnacentral:rRNA from 1 species
CGGCAAUGGCGCUGCUUAACAUGCAGUCGAACGGCAGCACGGGAGCAAUCCUGGUGGCGAGUGGCGAACGGGUGAGUAAUACAUCGGAACGUGUCCUGGAGUGGGGGAUAGCCCGGCGAAAGCCGGAUUAAUACCGCAUACGCUCUGUGGAGGAAAGGGGGGGAUCUUAGGACCUCCCGCUCAAGGGGCGGCCGAUGGCAGAUUAGCUAGUUGGUGGGGUAAAGGCCUACCAAGGCGACGAUCUGUAGCUGGUCUGAGAGGACGACCAGCCACACUGGGACUGAGACACGGCCCAGACUCCUACGGGAGGCAGCAGUGGGGAAUUUUGGACAAUGGGGGAAACCCUGAUCCAGCAAUGCCGCGUGUGUGAAGAAGGCCUUCGGGUUGUAAAGCACUUUUGUCCGGAAAGAAAACCAUCGCCCUAAUAUGGUGGUGGGAUGACGGUACCGGAAGAAUAAGCACCGGCUAACUACGUGCCAGCAGCCGCGGUAAUACGUAGGGUGCAAGCGUUAAUCGGAAUUACUGGGCGUAAAGCGUGCGCAGGCGGUUCGCUAAGACAGAUGUGAAAUCCCCGGGCUUAACCUGGGAACUGCAUUUGUGACUGGCGGGCUAGAGUAUGGCAGAGGGGGGUAGAAUUCCACGUGUAGCAGUGAAAUGCGUAGAGAUGUGGAGGAA